rnacentral:lncRNA from 1 species
UUUCUUCCUCUUGUUCGUUGCGAAUACAACCGAUCAUGCCCGAGCUAAGUGCUCCACUACUGACCACGUCCAUCCCCAUGAUCCGAGCUUCGAGCUGGGCCUACUACGACUAAGCCAGGGCGCACAAAUCGCAACCAACUGGCGAGGGAAAAGUGCUAACAGAAACGAAACACUAGCUAGACUCUGACGAAACUGAAUGUGUCUAGCGACACUUAUCUGAAGA